rnacentral:rRNA from 1 species
AUGGACCUGCCAUGGCUGCUACCUCAGGACGUGCUCGCCGACGUCCUUCGGUUUAUUCCACCAUGCAGCAUCGCCGCAUGCCGCUGCGUUUGCAAGGCCCUGCGGAGCACCAUUGACGACCACUGCCUACUAUGUGCGGAUCUCCUCCCGCUAUCGGUCGCCGGCAUCUUCAUCAAUUUCAAUGACCUCCCUUUGCCAGAAUUUUUCUCUCGUCCCUCGGCGCCCGCGGGGCCCUCAAUCUUCGGUAGAUUCGACUACUUGCCAUACUCCGGUCUCCGUUUGAUCCAAGAUCACUGCAACGGCCUCCUCUUAUUCAAGGACUAUGUGGCUAACCCUGCCACUCGACAAUGGGAAUCCUUGCCAUCGCGUCCAAUGUUCAUGGACUUAGAUGCGGAUUUCACUUAUGAAGACUACCUCGUGUUUGAUCCAACAUUAUCACCCCACUAUGAGGUGUUUGUAAUCCCACGUCUACGUUACAAAAGAGUGAUGAGAGGUUUUCAUGACAACAAUUCAGAGGUUAUGGAGAAAUCUGAGUGGCCACCGUCUCUGCUUGGUUUGCACGUGUUCUCCUCAAAGUCGGGUUGUUGGGAGGGGAGGGGUUUUAUUCGAGAAGGAAAGGUUGUUGGCACCGUCGCCGAAAUGCGACGCCCACAUUGGAGUUGGGAUAAAAAAUGA